rnacentral:lncRNA from 1 species
UUUUUCUUCUUCUUCUUCUCUAAGAGGAUCUUGAGAGAAAAGAAGAGUCUUCUUUAACCAUUAAAAUACAAUCUCUACAGGGAAGCUAACAUUUUGGUGAGAUCAAAAAGCUUCUGAUCAGAUCGAGAUCUUGUGUGGAUAUCUAUGGAGGUCGGAUGCUUAUGCGGCUUUAAGGAACCUUUUGAAGAAUCUAUGAUCAUUGAUUUAUGGUAUAGAUCGACCCAUGUGAAGGUAUGAAGAUAAGACCUUCUCUAUUUUAUUUUAUUUGAUUUCUGUAUCUGAAUCCUAUCUAACCUUCUCUAUUUUAUUUUAUUUGACUUCUAUAUCUAAAUCCUAUCUCACAUAUAUAGAUCUUGUUGCAUAAUUUUAAGAUUUGAUCUUAUACAUGCUUUGAUUAAAAUAGUUUUAUUCUAAAUUUUUAAAUUUUUAUUGU